rnacentral:rRNA from 1 species
AAAGGAAUCAAGGGCGUACAGUGGAUGCCUUGGCACUAAGAGCCGAAUGAAGGGACGA